rfam:Dipodomys ordii contig_41852, whole genome shotgun sequence.
GGGAAGGUAGCUCAGUGGUAGAGUGCAUGCCCUACAAGCAUGAGGCCCUGGGUUCGAUUCCUCAGCACCA